UACGUAGGCAGCGAGCGUUGUUCGGAGUUACUGGGCGUAAAGGGUGUGUAGGCGGUUGUUUAAGUUUGGUGUGAAAUCUCCCGGCUUAACUGGGAGGGUGCGCCGAAGACUGGAAGGCUUGAGUAUGGGAGAGGUAAGCGGAAUUCCUGGUGUAGCGGUGAAAUGCGUAGAUAUCAGGAGGAACACCUGCGGUGUAGACGGCUUACUGGACCAUCACUGACGCUGAGGCACGAAAGCGUGGGUAGCAAACAGG
rnacentral:rRNA from 1 species